rnacentral:rRNA from 1 species
CUUAGCUCAGCUGGGAGAGCGCCUGCUUUGCACGCAGGAGGUCAGCGGUUCGAUCCCGCUAGGCUCCAUUAACAACGGAAGUUGUUAAGAUUUUGUCCAUUGAAAAUUGAAUAUCUAUCAAACAUUCCUAAACGUAUGUAAAAGUACGUAUAGAAAUAGUAACAAGAAAAUAAACCGAAAACGCUGUGAAUAUUUAAUGAGUUUUCUAAUUUUUGAAAAAAUUAGGUUAAAACAAGUUACGAAGACGUUAAGGAAAACGUAUGAUUUUAGGAAAUCAUCGCAGUAGUCUAAGGACUACAAGAGGAUUUGUCUAAAUCACUAGUUUUCUAGUCUGAGUACGAUUAUAAGGUUAAGUUAAUAAGGGCGCACGGUGGAUGCCUUUGAGAGGAUCUGCUCCUAGUACGAGAGGACCAGAGUGGACUUACCGCUGGUGUACCAGUUGUCUUGCCAAAGGCAUCGCUGGGUAGCUAUGUAGGGACGGGAUAAACGCUGAAAGCAUCUAAGUGUGAAACCCACCUCAAGAUGAGAUUUCCCAUAACUUUAUGUUAGUAAGAGCCCUGAGAGAUGAUCAGGUAGAUAGGUUGGAAGUGGAAGUGUGGCGACACAUGUAGCGGACCAAUACUAAUCGCUCGAGGACUUAUCCAAAGAAAUAAACUAGAGUCAAUAUUGACAAGCGAUCGGUUUCUUGUUAGAAUAUAGAUAUUCAAUUUUGAGUUGACAAGACUCAGUAGUUAAGUGACGAUAGCCUAGGAGAUACACCUGUACCCAUGCCGAACACAGCAGUUAAGCCCUAGAACGCCUGAAGUAGUUGGGGGUUGCCCCCUGUUAGAUACGGUAGUCGCUUAGCAAAUUGGGAGUUUAGCUCAGCUGGGAGAGCAUCUGCCUUACAAGCAGAGGGUCAGCGGUUCGAUCCCGUUAACUCCCAUAGGUCCCGUAGUGUAGCGGUUAUCACGUCGCCCUGUCACGGCGAAGAUCGCGGGUUCGAUUCCCGUCGGGACCGUUGAAACGAAUCAAUCAUAUGUUUCAAGUAAUAUAAUUAAGUAAAGACUCGUUAGCUCAGUUGGUAGAGCAAUUGACUUUUAAUCAAUGGGUCGCUGGUUCGAGCCCAGCACGAGUCAUAUGCGGGUUUGGCGGAAUUGGCAGACGCACCAGAUUUAGGAUCUGGCGCUUUCGGGCGUGGGGGUUCAAGUCCCUUAACCCGCAUAGAAUGGAAAUAGGCCGGCUUAGCUCAGUUGGUAGAGCAUCUGAUUUGUAAUCAGAGGGUCGCGUGUUCAAGUCAUGUAGCCGGCAUUAGGAAAGAUUGCGAACGUAGUUCAGUGGUAGAACACCACCUUGCCAAGGUGGGGGUCGCGGGUUCGAAUCCCGUCGUUCGCUUUGAGAGGCCGGGGUGGCGGAACUGGCAGACGCACAGGACUUAAAAUCCUGCGAUGGCAACAUCGUACCGGUUCGAUUCCGGUCCUCGGCAUGAAGAUUAUAAUAGUUAGCACCCUUAGCUCAACUGGAUAGAGUACCUGACUACGAAUCAGGCGGUUAGAGGUUCGAAUCCUCUAGGGUGCAUCACUCGCUUAAUGGAGACGUUAGGGGAGCUUUAUUUUUAAUAGUAUCGGGAAGUAGCUCAGCUUGGUAGAGUACUUGGUUUGGGACCAAGGUGUCGCAGGUUCGAAUCCUGUCUUCCCGAUUAUCGGGAGAAGGGGUGCUGGCUUAAAGUCAGCCGCAGUGAAUAGGCCCAAGCAACUGUUUAUCAAAAACACAGCUCUCUGCUAAAUCGUAAGAUGAUGUAUAGGGGGUGACGCCUGCCCGGUGCUGGAAGGUUAAGAGGAGGGUUUAGCGCAAGCGAAGAUCUGAAUUGAAGCCCCAGUAAACGGCGGCCGUAACUAUAACGGUCCUAAGGUAGCGAAAUUCCUUGUCGGGUAAGUUCCGACCCGCACGAAAGGCGUAAUGAUUUGGGCACUGUCUCAACGAGAGACUCGGUGAAAUUUUAGUACCUGUGAAGAUGCAGGUUACCCGCGACAGGACGGAAAGACCCCAUGGAGCUUUACUGCAGUUUGAUAUUGAGUAUCUGUACCACAUGUACAGGAUAGGUAGGAGCCUACGAAGUCGGGACGCCAGUUUCGACUGAGGCGCUGUUGGGAUACUACCCUUGUGUUAUGGCUACUCUAACCCGGAUAGGUUAUCCCUAUCGGAGACAGUGUCUGACGGGCAGUUUGACUGGGGCGGUCGCCUCCUAAAAGGUAACGGAGGCGCCCAAAGGUUCCCUCAGAAUGGUUGGAAAUCAUUCGCAGAGUGUAAAGGUAUAAGGGAGCUUGACUGCGAGAGCUACAACUCGAGCAGGGACGAAAGUCGGGCUUAGUGAUCCGGUGGUUCCGUAUGGAAGGGCCAUCGCUCAACGGAUAAAAGCUACCCUGGGGAUAACAGGCUUAUCUCCCCCAAGAGUUCACAUCGACGGGGAGGUUUGGCACCUCGAUGUCGGCUCGUCGCAUCCUGGGGCUGUAGUCGGUCCCAAGGGUUGGGCUGUUCGCCCAUUAAAGCGGCACGCGAGCUGGGUUCAGAACGUCGUGAGACAGUUCGGUCCCUAUCCGUCGCGGGCGUAGGAAAUUUGAGAGGAUCUGCUCCUAGUACGAGAGGACCAGAGUGGACUUACCGCUGGUGUACCAGUUGUCUUGCCAAAGGCAUCGCUGGGUAGCUAUGUAGGGACGGGAUAAACGCUGAAAGCAUCUAAGUGUGAAACCCACCUCAAGAUGAGAUUUCCCAUAACUUUAUGUUAGUAAGAGCCCUGAGAGAUGAUCAGGUAGAUAGGUUGGAAGUGGAAGUGUGGCGACACAUGUAGCGGACCAAUACUAAUCGCUCGAGGACUUAUCC